rnacentral:rRNA from 1 species
ACGAACCGUGCGAACGUUGUUCGGAAUCACUGGGCUUAAAGGGCGCGUAGGCGGCUUGCCAAGUCAGUGGUGAAAUCCCGCAGCUUAACUGCGGAAGUGCCUUUGAUACUGGCGAGCUCGAGGGAGGUAGGGGUAUGUGGAACUUCUGGUGGAGCGGUGAAAUGCGUUGAUAUCAGAAGGAACGCCGGUGGCGAAAGCGACGUACUGGACCUCUUCUGACGCUGAGGCGCGAAAGCUAGGGGAGCAAACGGG